rnacentral:rRNA from 1 species
ACUCCUACGGGAGGCAGCAGUGGGGAAUAUUGGACAAUGGGCGCAAGCCUGAUCCAGCCAUGCCACGUGAGUGAUGAAGGCCCUAGGGUUGUAAAGCUCUUUCACCGGUGAAGAUAAUGACGGUAACCGGAGAAGAAGCCCCGGCUAACUUCGUGCCAGCAGCCGCGGUAAUACGAAGGGGGCUAGCGUUGUUCGGAUUUACUGGGCGUAAAGCGCACGUAGGCGGACUAUUAAGUCAGGGGUGAAAUCCCGGGGCUCAACCCCGGAACUGCCUUUGAUACUGGUAGUCUUGAGUUCGAGAGAGGUGAGUGGAAUUCCGAGUGUAGAGGUGAAAUUCGUAGAUAUUCGGAGGAACACCAGUGGCGAAGGCGGCUCACUGGCUCGAUACUGACGCUGAGGUGCGAAAGCGUGGGGAGCAAACAGGAUUAGAAACCCCAGUAGUCCCAUGAU